rnacentral:misc_RNA from 1 species
UUGCAGGAACGGAUAGCCAAAGCUGCCGUCUUCAGUAAUUUAUUUUGGUGCUUAGAACAAACUAAUCGUGUUACCAUAUUAUAUCCUAAUUUGUAGUAGUGCUCGAAAUGCUUCUUCUUCUUCUUGCGCGAAAAUACAAGUCAUCUCAGCCAUUCAUGAAUUACUCAUAUGUGACGUCUUGCGCAAGGUAGACAACAUCAAUGCUUGUCUUAAUUUUCUUGACGAGCUGGGGGUUAAUGUUGUAGACAUUACUGCCCAAGAUAUCAGAGAUGGUAGUUUAAAAGCUAUCCUGGGACUCUUCUUCAAUCUGUCUCGUUAUAAACAAGCUCAGAAGACGGCAGCCACUGCAAAUAAUCAGCCCUCUAGCGGUUACUCGCAAGGAAGAGUAGGGCUGACACCUUCUAGUGGUGGAGAAAUGCUUUCGAAAUUACCAACUCUUUCCAAACCUUCCACUGGACGUGUUCCUACUCAGUCUUGUGCCAGAGAAAAUUCUAGCAGUAUACCUGCGCCGCCCUCUACCGUUAAUAAUAAUCGUAAAAAUGUGAAUCAAA